CAUGUUUUCAAAUGAACUGUAUGUCAUUGUCCUGUGGCUCAUAAUCAAACAGCUUCAUAUGUGGACGCAUCAAACUCUCUCAACUCUUGUACUGUGGACUUUAGCACAAGACUGUUAUAAAAGCAUUAAAGAUUUAUUUCCAAAGCCUGUAGAAAACAAGACAUAACGUGUGUCUCUAAUAGGCCACUGUUUCUGGGAAUUUUGUCUCGACAAAAGCAGAAUUUGCUGUGGCUGAUGAUCAUCUGUUGUCCUACACGCCAGAUAACCUGCUCAGAAAAACUGAUAAUCCAAGUCAGUUCAACAGAUCAGUGUUUCUGGAACACAAGUAGCUCAACAGUUCCAGAUAUAAAACAGACAUGUCUCACUAAACAUCUCUUCUCUUGGACAAUGCAGAUCAUCCAGGUUCAUAAAAAAAAAAACAUGGGGGGAAUUAUUAAUUAAGAAUUAACGAGAUCUUCUAAGAGAUCUGCUUGUAAACAGUUAAGCACAGUUUUGAAAAAAAAUUGUGUAAGAUAGCAGCUUGGAUUUCUCUCUCGUCUUGUCGUCUGGAUUUUGUUCGUACCUUGCUUGGAUUUAUUAACUGUCUAUGGAUUACUAACUUGCCUCAACCUUUGGAUUAUGUUUGCCAUUGAUCGACCUAGGCCUGUUUAUCGAACUACGCCUGUUUAUCGGAUUACUCUUCUGUCUGUUCCUUGAAAUACCUGUUUGCCAUUGUCUGACCCUUGCCUGUUUUAAAUAUAUUUUGGAAUUAAGCUUUGCACAUGGAUCCACACAUUUCUCAUCUCAGUCCCCCAUUACACCGUGUUACUUAGAAUUUGUUUAUUUAAAUUUUUUUCUUAGUAUAAAUAUUACAAUAAACGAUGUACUUAUGAGAGUGUGAUUCACUUCAGUUAAACAAGAAAAGGGGAUAAGGGGUAAGACAAGUCAUGUUGUUUUCAUCCAUAACCCACUAGCAGGUGUUUUGUAUAAAGCAAUAAUCUCACUAAAUUGUAUUACAUUUCUCUGAAGUGAAUUGAUUUAAAUCUUCUAAAAGUUCUAAAAAUUGAGUAAUAAAAAUCAUAAGGUGUAAGUGUCUGAUAUUACCUGUUA